UUAUAUUUAACCCUAUCAACAUUUUCAAACACUGAAGUGGAAAUCAUCAAUCAAUUUCCUGUGCUUUAUCAACUAUCUUAACCAACUUUGUUGUAGUUUGGAAGUAUCUAUUGCCAAAAUUUAAUUAUUUUAAGUGGAACUCUUGAAUAGUGCUCUACUUUUCAAGAUAUUGAACCUGAUAAACAACUUCUGAAAAGCGUGAGAUAUAUGGGCGCCGUGGCUUAGUUGGUUAAAGCGCCUGUCUAGUAAACAGGAGAUCGUGAGUUCGAAUCUCGCCGGGGCCUAUCACAAAUCGGUGAUCGCAGUUCUUGGCACCGCUUCCACAUGCUCACCCCUUUUCCCUUUUCCCUUUCCCCUGGCUUGUUAACAAAUUGCGCCAGAACAAAAGCCCGAAGGGGAAUUUGCAUGCCCAUCACGACGACGCCGGGCUCAGAUUACGAUCGACAUAGCCGCCAGCUGACCUUAACUUAUGUCCAACGCUUUCGGGGGAUCUGGUGAUAUGGUGUUCUGGGGAUCUGGGGAUCUGGAGGAUCUAAGGAAACAAGUGUAAAGCGUUUCGGGCAAAUUGAGCUAGUCAACAGGACACAUCGAGUGUGAAGGAGGUUUAUAGGGGACCCACCAUCUGUAUCUCCAUCGGAUCGCCAACGCAAGCGUUCCAGAGUUAGUUGCAGAGUUCGGAGAGAAAACAAAGCGAUGCUGAAAUUCCGCUUAAGCACAACUCUUAUGCCUUUCAAAACUAAAUUAAUCUUCAUUGGAAGCCAUCGACAGGAGGAGGACGAGAUGUGGAGGAGCAGAAAUGAGGGCUUCGUUUGGAUUGAAGCCGCCAAGAAAAAUUAGCGCAAAUGAUUGACAGCCUAAAUGGGAAUUUAAUGGUAAACUUUAGUUGAAUUUUGCUUUUUCUGCCAUCUACCAUCGUUCUGAAGACCCCAAACCUGGGUUCGCUAUAAUUUGCCGCAGAAAUAACCCUGAAGGAUCCGAGUGAAAUCGCUCGCUGUAAAAAGUAAAAGCUAAAUUGUUUCCACCAGCAAAAUUGAUACCAAAUUGAUGUAUCUUUUUCGUUGCUCUGUUGAUGUUUUGCCAAAACGAUUUAAAAAGCAAAAAAUAAAAAAAGAGGUUGCAAAACCGUUAUAAGAUCAA